GAGAGAGAGAGAGAGAGAGAGAGAGAGUGAGAGGGGGUCCAGCAAUGCAUUCAGUCCGUUUCGAGGUACAGCCAGGGCUCAGGAGAGUCACCGGUCAACCAUGAGGGACCCCUGGAGCUGAUUGGUCCUCAGUGGGCAACCUUCUGAACUAUGACAACUGCAAGCAAACUGACUGAAGCCCAAAUGAUUGCAGUAAAUGUAUGAUUUUAAAGACAAAUCUAGAAUUCAAAAAAAUGAAAAUGUAUGCAUAGA